rnacentral:rRNA from 1 species
AGAGAAUAGAUACCCGGGUAGUCCACGCCCUAAACGAUGUCGACUGGUUGUUGGGGGUUUGACACUCUCAGUAAACGAAAGCUAAACGCGUGAAGUCGACCGCCUGGGGAGUACGGCCGCAAGGUUAAAACUCAAAGGAAUUGACGGGGACCCGCACAAGCGGUGGAUUAUGUGGAUUAAUUCGAUGCAACGCGAAAAACCUUACCUACCCUUGACAUGUCCGGGAGCCUGCUGAGAGGCGGGUGUGCUCGAAAGAGAACCGGAACACAGGUGCUGCAUGGCUGUCGUCAGCUCGUGUCGUGAGAUGUUGGGUUAAGUCCCGCAACGAGCGCAACCCUUGCCAUUAGUUGCCACCCGUAAGGGGGUCACUCUAAUGGGACUGCCGGUGACAAACCGGAGGAAGGUGGGGAUGACGUCAAGUCCUCAUGG